AUGCAAGUCGAACGGUAACAGGAAACAGCUUGCUGUUUCGCUGACGAGUGGCGGACGGGUGAGUAAUGUCUGGGAAACUGCCUGAUGGAGGGGGAUAACUACUGGAAACGGUAGCUAAUACCGCAUAACGUCGCAAGACCAAAGAGGGGGACCUUCGGGCCUCUUGCCAUCGGAUGUGCCCAGAUGGGAUUAGCUAGUAGGUGGGGUAACGGCUCACCUAGGCGACGAUCCCUAGCUGGUCUGAGAGGAUGACCAGCCACACUGGAACUGAGACACGGUCCAGACUCCUACGGGAGGCAGCAGUGGGGAAUAUUGCACAAUGGGCGCAAGCCUGAUGGAGCCAUGCCGCGUGUAUGAAGAAGGCCUUCGGGUUGUAAAGUACUUUCAGCGGGGAGGAAGGGAGUAAAGUUAAUACCUUUGCUCAUUGACGUUACCCGCAGAAGAAGCACCGGCUAACUCCGUGCCAGCAGCCGCGGUAAUACGGAGGGUGCAAGCGUUAAUCGGAAUUACUGGGCGUAAAGCGCACGCAGGCGGUUUGUUAAGUCAGAUGUGAAAUCCCCGGGCUCAACCUGGGAACUGCAUCUGAUACUGGCAAGCUUGAGUCUCGUAGAGGGGGGUAGAAU
rnacentral:rRNA from 1 species